rfam:Myotis brandtii contig180838, whole genome shotgun sequence.
GCCCUGUGGUUCAGUGAUUAGAGCGUUGGACUGCAAACUGAAGGGUCAUGGGUUCAAUUCCCCAUCAAGGGCA